ACCCACGAGACCACACCGACACUUCUCGCACCCCAAAAUUUUCAGAGAGAGAGAGAGGAACUGAGGACUUGGAGAUGAUCCCAGAGAGAGGACUUGCAGAUGAGAUCCUUGAGGAUGCAGUGGCGACGGCAGCGGCCGGAGCCAGCGGUUGUUCGGAUCAACGGAGGUGCGGCGGGAGGUAGCAGACCGCACGUACGGCGAGUGGUUAAACAGUCGUAGCCUUAAGCGCUUCGCCGGCUGUUCUAAUAUUACUGCUCGCUACCGGUGAAGCCCUAGCCCUCCUAUUUACAGAUGAUUGUCAUGUACUGCAGGUGUAGAGAUUAUAUUCAAUUUUUGACAUCAACCGAACCAAUCAAGUCAAUUUUUUGGACAAAUGAAUAAAUAAAUAGUGUACUUAUAUUGUGCCAAAGACAUUUGAAAAUACGUAUUUAUUGCACUUAUUUUUCAUAUAUUUUGGACUCAUUUAUGGGCUCUUUUCAAAGAGAAAUACAUCAUUAAAUGUACAAGUAGAUUCAUAAUUUAGUUGCAUGUUUUAUUUAAAA